GUCUUUUUGUAGUUAAAUAUAAAAGUCUCGCCUGCCCACUGAUUAAUUUGAAUGGCCGCGGUAUUUUGACCGUGCUAAGGUAGCAUAAUCAUUAGUUUUUUUAUUGAAAGCUGGAAUGAAGGGUUGGAUGAAAAAAAAACUGUCUUUAUUUAAUUUGUAAAGAAUUUUAUUUUUAAGUUAAAAAGCUUAAAUUAUUUUAAAAGACGAGAAGACCCUUUAGAGUUUUAUAAAAUUAUUAAUAAUUUUUUUUAGUAUUAAAUUUAUUUAUAUAAUAAAUUUAUUUAAUUGGGGUGAUUAAAAAAUGAAUUUAACUUUUUUUAUAUUAUUAUAUUAAUUAAUAAUUUUUUGAUCCAAUUUUUUUUUGAUUAUAAGAUUAAAUUACCUUAGGGAUAACAGCGUAAUUUUAUUGGAGAGUUCAAAUCGAUAAUAAAGAUUGCGACCUCGAUGUUGGAUUAAAGUUUAUAAUUGGCGUAGAAGCUAUAUUAUUAAGUCUGUUCGACU
rnacentral:rRNA from 1 species